ACUCAAAUGAAUUGACGGGGACCCGCACAAGCGGUGGAGCGUGUGGUUUAAUUCGACACUAAGCGAAGAACCUUACCAGGGUUUGACAUGUAGCUGCAAGCGCACGGAAACGUGUGACCUUCGAGGGUGCUACACAGGUGUUGCACGGUUGUCGUCAGCUCGUGUUGUGAAAUGUACGGUUCAGUCCGCCAACGAGCGCAACCCCUAUCGUAUGUUGGAUUUCCUCUCAUACGAGACUGCCGGUGUUAAACCGGAGGAAGGUGGGGAUGACGUCAAAUCAGCGUGACUCUUACAUCCUGGGCGACACACGCGCUACAAUGGGAAGUAACAAUGGGUUGCCAAGCCGUAAGGCGGAGCUAAUCCCACCAAACCUUCCCCCAGUUCAGAUUGAGGGCUGCAAUUCGCCCUCAUGAAGUCGGAAUCGCUAGUAACGGCUGGUCAGCCACACAGCCGUGAAUACGUUCUCGGGUCUUGCACACACCGCCCGU
rnacentral:rRNA from 1 species